AAAGAUUGGCCAUAUAAUGAGUCAGUGGUAAUAUCAAGCCUUAAUAUGUUACAGGCACUAGUCUAAGUAAUUUAACCUAUAUUCGUCUCUUCAAUGUUUUUAAUUCCCAAGUGAGGCAAGGAAAGGGAUGGAAGUAUAUUGGACAACUAUGCGCAGGUCACUACACAGGACAUUUUCUAUGCCAAACAGAUGGUCAGCUAGGUUUUUCUUCAUGAAAUUUUGAUGAAGCCAAGUUGACAUGAGAAUGACUUAUUCCUGUAAGGUGUGACUAAUUCCCAAACAAGACUUUUUCAUGAA